GACCGCUCCGGUGGCCUAGUGGUUAGAGCAUCCACCUCAGAUGCGGAAGGUCGUGAGUUCGAUUCCAGGCCGAGUCA